rnacentral:rRNA from 1 species
CCUACGGGUGGCUGCAGUAAGGAAUAUUGGUCAAUGGACGAAAGUCUGAACCAGCCAUCCCGCGUGCAGGAUGAAAGCCCUAUGGGUUGUAAACUGCUUUUAGCAGAGAAGAAAAGCUUUCAUUAAUGAGAGUCUGACGGUAUCUGCAGAAUAAGCACCGGCUAACUCCGUGCCAGCAGCCGCGGUAAUACGGAGGGUGCGAGAGUUAUCCGGAAUUACGGGUGUUAAAGGGUACUUUUACGGAGGUGGUGAAAUCGUGUCGCUUAACGAUAAAAUUGCCAAUGAUACUGGUACUCUUGAAUAGGGUUGAGGUUAGCGGAAUGUGACAUGUAGCGGUGAAAUGCAUAGAUAUGUCAUGGAACACCAAUUGCGAAGGCAGCUAACUGGGCCUUGAUUGACGCUGAGGCACGAAAGCGUGGGGAGCGAACAGGAUUAGAUACCCUAGUAGUC